rnacentral:piRNA from 1 species
UAAGGAAAAGAAGGUGACAGAUAAAUUAGG